rnacentral:rRNA from 1 species
AUUGAACGCUGGCGGCAGGCCUAACACAUGCAAGUCGAGCGGAUGAAGGGAGCUUGCUCCUGGAUUCAGCGGCGGACGGGUGAGUAAUGCCUAGGAAUCUGCCUGGUAGUGGGGGAUAACGUCCGGAAACGGGCGCUAAUACCGCAUACGUCCUGAGGGAGAAAGUGGGGGAUCUUCGGACCUCACGCUAUCAGGUGAGCCUAGGUCGGAUUAGCUAGUUGGUUGGGUAAAGGCCUACCAAGGCGACGAUCCGUAACUGGUCUGAGAGGAUGAUCAGUCACACUGGAACUGAGACACGGUCCAGACUCCUACGGGAGGCAGCAGUGGGGAAUAUUGGACAAUGGGCGAAAGCCUGAUCCAGCCAUGCCGCGUGUGUGAAGAAGGUCUUCGGAUUGUAAAGCACUUUAAGUUGGGAGGAAGGGCAGUAAGUUAAUACCUUGCUGUUUUGACGUUACCAACAGAAUAAGCACCGGCUAACUUCGUG